AUGGACGCGUCAAAAAUCUUCAACAUUUUUAUGAUACUUCUCGCAGCAAACGUGAAGUUUCCUAGAACCGCCGGGCAGAAUUUGCAGAUCUCCCAAGCAGAGCGCGCGGAGCAAAAAUUUCGAGUGAAGCGCCAGGUCCCGAACCAGUACAAUUUCAACAGCAACUCGACGCAAAACCAACUACCGAAUCUAAACAGGGUGUAUUUCAGCAACAUUCCGAUAGAGAGCGCUGUCGCGCAAAUGAAACAACGAAUUCCAAGCCGUUACUUCGCCUACACUAAUUCUACACGAAACCAGCCACUAGACCGGUUCACGGUCAACUUACCGAUGGAUAGGAUUGUCGCAGAGAUGAAACAACAAUCCCCAAACCAGUUCCAGUUACCGGACCCGGUUUCCAGGGAUUCACCGAUAGAUAGCGCUGUCGCACAGAUGAACGAACAGAUCGCGAACCCAUACAUCUUGUACCCUAACGCAACUUUUAACCAGUUUCCAGAUUUGGGCGGCGAGUAUUUUACAAAUUCCCCGAUGGAUGGCGCGGUUUCACAGGAUUUCCCGAUAUUCCAACCGGGAAAACCGGGUGCUGGCAACGUCAAGGACACGGUCACUGAUAACAGGAGCACGAUUUUCAACGUCCUCAUCUUGAGCAACUACCUGAGCUUAUCACCGUUCAGGGACGACCUCGGGGAUUCUGGGCUCGACGGGCGCGCGGUGUCCAAAUUCAAUUUUUCAGGGAAUGUCAAGGACUCGGCGGGACCCCGACUGGUCCCCAGGGUCAAAAACUCGACGAUAGUUUUCUUGGACGACGCCCGGCUCCCGAGCUACACGGGGAACGUGACGGACAGGAAUCGAGAGGAGAGCCGAAAAAAGUUCAGCUUCGAAGAUGUGAAUCUUGACAUGCGGAACCUGAAAGACCUGGUCAAUUUCAGGAGGAAACCGGUCCCUUUGGAUCUCUCUAGGGGUGGCGGUCUGCCACGAGAUGUGGACGACUCAUCGCAAUCGAAAGCGACGAUGGAUUUACCUGCAGGUGAAAACGUGGGUGGAGAAAACUCGAGAUUUUGUUCGACAGGCCGGCAACGGUGAAUCUUGACGAAAGGAAGAGCGAACUUGGAACGAGCUGGUGGUCACACCCACGCAGACGCUCGAAUUUCGUCCCGCGCAGAUUCGCGCCUGGACCCCGGACCCGGUGACGCAUAGGUUCCUGCGACGCUGUUGGGAAAUUUUAGAUUUUAAUUAUUUUAAUUUGAUCUUCUUUUUUAAAGUAUACCUAAGACGGACUCAUACUAGCGGUGUCAAAGACAAAAAAUUGUUGACCCGAGUCCACCAGAGUGUCUGUUUUUCUGCUUUUUCAAAUUUUCCCAGACCAAGAAGAUCGAAAUUUCUUAAAGUUUUACAUAAAAAAUUUGCACGCGCAGGACCAAUCAUAAAAAAAUUUAGCAUUGAUUUCACAGCAAAUAGAAGAAUUAUUAAAACAUACAGGUCAAGUAAUUUCUCAGAAACUUGGGUAUUUUCUCUUUGAAUUGUUUUCAGAAUUAAAUUCACAAAUGCGAGACGAAAUUUGACUUUGAAGAUUUGAGUCAGGAACUGCUUGAGUGCUAAUUAUUUGCAAAUUACGCCAACAGUGUCCAUUCAAGCCUUCCCCGACAAAAUGGGUGGCAAUAGUUCAGGAAUACUCGACAAGAGAAUGAAAGAUCCUACGACUUUAUAUCAUCACAAGAUGCGCAAUGCUGUUGCAUACAAAUAUAUUAACUCCGCCGUGGAUGGUGAGGUAUCACGCGAGACUGAAGGCGUUUCUGACUGCUGACAACAGUUACUCACACACACAGCGAAAACGGAUCAAGUCACCCGCAACUACCCGUCAUUUCUUUGAAGACUUAAGGCAGGAUCUGUCCGGAUACAAAACAUUUGCAAAAAUACGCCAACUGCUUUCAUUCAGGUUUUUUCCGAAAAUAUUGUAAAUGUGAAUAUUGUAAAGGUCGAUAAUCAUGCCUAAGCAGGAUUAUUGAAUUUUUGAACUGAAAUCUCUAACAUUGGGUCUUCUACAGGAAUAAGAUUUCGGACUUAUUACU
rnacentral:lncRNA from 1 species